UUUCCGUAGGUGAACCUGCGGAAGGAUCAUUCAUAAUAAGUGUUUUAUGGCACUUUUUUAAAUCCAUAUCCACCUUGUGUGCAAUGUCAGGGUUGAUUUUUCUCUCGAGAGGAUCAACCCCAAACAUCAACUAUAUCUCAACUCUUUGUCAGAAAAAUAUUAUGAAUAAAACAAUUCAAAAUACAACUUUCAACAACGGAUCUCUUGGCUCUA
rnacentral:misc_RNA from 1 species